UACGUAGGAGGCGAGCGUUGUCCGGAGUUACUGGGCGUAAAGGGCGCGUAGGCGGCCCUCCUAGUCGCGUGUGAAAGCCCGAGGCUCAACUUCGGGUCGGCCACUGAUACUGCUAGGCUUGAGUCGACUAGAGGCAGAUGGAAUUCCGGGUGUAGCGGUGGAAUGCGUAGAGAUCCGGAAGAACACCGGUGGCGAAGGCGGUCUGCUGGGGUCGAACUGACGCUGAGGCGCGACAGCGUGGGGAGCAAACAGG
rnacentral:rRNA from 1 species